rnacentral:rRNA from 1 species
CAUAAUCACUUGNUUCUUUAAAUGGGGACUCGUAUCAACGGCAUCACGAGGGUUCUACUGUCUCCUUUCUCUAAUCAGUGAAACUAAUCUCCCCGUGAAGAAGCGAGGAUAACACUAUAAGACGAGAAGACCCCAUGGAGCUUUAAACCCAAUUAUAUCCCUAACCCCUAUACCCAUUUAACCUCUU